CCUCCGCGGGCCAGGCGCGACAGUUCUCUAAGCCCUGGGCUGCGUCGUACCGCAGGGACCGAGGCAGCCUGUGGCUCCCUCAUACUGCCAGCUUCGCAUCUAACAUCUGCAGGACUCGGGCUACCUGAGGGUGGAGAGGGUCACUGGCUCCCUGGGCGGAGGAUGCGGAAGGCCCUGAACUAGGAGGGGACCGGCCCUCCGCGCCCCACCCGAACCCGGAACUGGUGCGCCGGAAUGGGGCCCGGCCCCUUGAGAGCGAGCGGAACCUGGAGUGGGACGUCCGCGCUGCCGCCACUGUUGCUGAACACCUGCUAUCACGACCAAGAAAGCAGCCUUUAGGUACCAAAAGAUGACAGGUGGAUAAGCCAUAAGGAUCCCUGCCCGCACUUCCUGGCUACCAGACAGGGUAGUUGUGAGGAAGACAUGGAUAAAAAGAUUAGAAUAUUGGAUUCAAUAAAUGUUGGCCAUUUCGUUAUACUUUUCUACAUUAUCUGCAGAGGAUCAGUUUGAUUGCCUAAUGAGGCGCUUCCUCGCUCCAUAUAGUGACUCAGAAAUCCCUCUUUGUUUUCAGACUGAAGAUUGAACCUAGAGCCUCGUACAUGCUAGGCUAAUGCUCUUACGCUGAACUGAAGCCCCGGCCCUAGAAAUUCGCUUUUCAAAAUGUUUCUCGAGUUAUCUAGAAUGCAAGAAACCUAGAAUGCAAAUCUUGCUCACAAUACCUACCUACCAGACUUGUUCACCCUCUGUUUAAAAACCAAAUCAGGUCGUGAGAGAGGGGAUCAGUAAACUUCAUCCCUGGCAGGCUGUGCCCUAGACCUCUGAGCUCAUAGACAAGUGAAAGCCUUCAGGGACAAGCCACCAGCAGAGAAAGCGUCCAGCCCAAAUGAAGAGGUAGUUAGAAGAUGAUCAGACUCCAGGCUGUUGUGACUUACAGCAGAACCUCCUCCACGCCCCGUGGAAACCUGAAGCCAGAUAUUGGGGUGAAAGCU